UACGUAGGGUGCAAGCGUUGUCCGGAAUUAUUGGGCGUAAAGAGCUCGUAGGCGGUUUGUCACGUCUGCUGUGAAAACUCGGGGCUUAACUCCGGGCCUGCAGUGGGUACGGGCAGACUAGAGUGCGGUAGGGGAGACUGGAAUUCCUGGUGCAGCGGUGAAAUGCGCAGAUAUCAGGAGGAACACCGGUGGCGAAGGCGGGUCUCUGGGCCGUAACUGACGCUGAGGAGCGAAAGCGUGGGGAGCGAACAGG
rnacentral:rRNA from 1 species